rnacentral:misc_RNA from 1 species
CGUGCCAUCUGCAAAUUCUCCCCGCGCACGGCGCUGGCAGCGCGUGCGGCAAAGCGCUCGGCUCCGUGCCGAAUUCGACCUUCGGCUACGAGGCGAAAUUCAACCACGCCUUCAAGCUCGCGGUGGAUGGCACCGAGGAGGAUUUCGUGAAAUUCAUCCUCAGCGGCCAGCCGGAACCGCCAGCGUAUUUCGCCAACAUGAAGCGCGUGAACAAAGUCGGCACCGCCGUGCUCGGCACGCUCCCGCAGCCACGGGAGAUGACGCUCGACGAAGUGGCCAGGCGGCUCGACGAGCCGGGCUUCGCGGUGCUCGACACCCGCGACCGUGCCGCCUUUCUCGCCGGACAUCUGCGCCGCAGUCUCUUCACUCCGCCGGAGAAAUUCGCCGACUUCGCCGGCAGCUAUCUCGCGCCGGAGGAUGAGAUCGUGAUCGUGGUGAAAGACGCCGCCUCCACGGACGAAUACGUGCGCCAGCUCGUGCGCAUGGGCUUUGACAAAAUCAUCGGCACGCUUCCCGCGAGCGCGAUCGAAUCAGCGCCCGACGCCCUGAGAAUCGCGACCCGCUCGG